UACGUAGGUGGCAAGCGUUAUCCGGAAUUAUUGGGCGUAAAGCGAGCGCAGGCGGUUCCUUAAGUCUGAUGUGAAAGCCCACGGCUCAACCGUGGAAGGUCAUUGGAAACUGGGGAACUUGAGUGCAGAAGAGGAGAGUGGAAUUCCAUGUGUAGCGGUGAAAUGCGUAGAUAUAUGGAGGAACACCAGUGGCGAAGGCGACUCUCUGGUCUGUAACUGACGCUGAGGCUCGAAAGCGUGGGGAGCAAACAGGAUUAGAUA
rnacentral:rRNA from 1 species